rnacentral:rRNA from 1 species
CCUACGGGGGGCUGCAGUGAGGAAUAUUGGUCAAUGGGCGGGAGCCUGAACCAGCCAAGUCGCGUGAGGGAAGACGGUCCUAUGGAUUGUAAACCUCUUUAGGCGGGGAGCAAUGCCGGGCACGUGUGCCCGGAGGGAGAGUACCCGCAGAAUAAGCAUCGGCAAACUCCGUGCCAGCAGCCGCGGUAAUACGGAGGAUGCGAGCGUUAUCCGGAUUUAUUGGGUUAAAAGGGUGCGUAGGCGGAUUUUUAAGUCAGCGGUAAAAUGUCCGGGCUCAACCCGGGCCGGCCGUUGAAACUGGGGAUCUUGAGUGGGCGAGAGGUAUGCGGAAUGCGUGGUGUAGCGGUGAAAUGCGUAGAUAUCACGAGGAACUCCGGUGGCGAAGGCAGCAUACCGGAGCCCGACUGACGCUGAGGCUCGAAAGCGUGGGGAUCGAACAGGAUUAGAUACCCCUGUAGUC